AACGAUCUACAAUUCGUUUAAUGUAUUCCGAUCAAGAAUCGGAUAAGUAUUGGCAAAGUUACAGCCUUCGCGGUGGGCCAUAUUGUCCUUUUCAUACAUUAUCCACAUUUUGAAGGGGAUGCCCCAGAAAAUUUGAUCAAAAAUCUAAAAAAUAUUUAGUGCGUAGAUUUUGGUAGAAACGAUCUACAAAUCGUUUAAGGUAUACUGUUCAAGAAUCGGAUAAAUAUUGGCAAAGAUACAACCUUCGCUGGGAGACCUUUUCGAUUUCAAUGCAUAUUCCACAUAUUGAUGGACACCAAUACAAAUUUGAGAAAAAAUAUAAAAAAUAUUUUGUUCUUAUCUUAUCAUCUUACACCACAUAAUUUCAAAAUUCGUAUUCAUGUUGUCCAAAACAUAUUCUUAUGUAGCAUUCGAGUGAUUUUCAUUGUAAAGUUCCACUUUUGCAAAAAUUAAUCCUCUGCUGAGCAGCAAGGCUUUCAUGGCUCCUACCAUGGGAUUACAAUUACUUUAAAGUUGUGUUCCUCGUUAGAUAUGCUAUUGUUUAAUAUGCUGCCACCAUAUCUGUGUAAUUAAAAACUAUUUGCACACAAAGUUUAUAAAAGCAAAAACCAGAAACAACUAACAACAACUAGCACAACAAACAAACUGGAAGAACAACAACGACCACACGAGAGCUACAAUAGUUUUGUUGUGCGCCAUGGCCAGAGCCUGCGGCGGCUGCCCCGGUCACACCUCCCUUCCGGCACUCGUCAAACAUUUGGGCAAAUGCUAUAAUUGAAAUCAUUUAAAGUCUUGAAUUAUUACUUUGUUAAUGCUAUUGUUUGCUGUCGCAUUGGCAGCGCAAUAAAUUUAAAAUUUCUACUCAAA